rnacentral:rRNA from 1 species
AAUCAACGCUGGCGGCGUGCCUCAGACAUGCAAGUCGAACGCGAAAGUCCCCUUCGGGGGGACAAGUAGAGUGGCGCACGGGUGAGUAACACGUAGGUAAUCUACCUUCGGAUGGGGAAUAACAACCGGAAACGGUUGCUAAUACCGCAUAAUGCAGCGGCACCUAAUGGUGACAGUUGUUAAAGCGGGGGAUUGAAAGACCUCGCGUCUGAAGAGGAGCCUGCGGCGGAUUAGCUUGUUGGAGGGUAACGGCCUACCAAGGCGACGAUCCGUAGCCGGCCUGAGAGGGCGGUCGGCCACACUGACACUGACAUACGGGUCAGACUCCUACGGGAGGCAGCAGUGGGGAAUUUUGGACAAUGGGCGCAAGCCUGAUCCAGCCAUGCCGCGUGCGGGAAGAAGGCCUGGUUGUAACG